GACGAACGCUGGCGGCGUGCUUAACACAUGCAAGUCGAACGAUGAACCCGGAGCUUGCUCCGGUGGAUUAGUGGCGAACGGGUGAGUAACACGUGGGCAACCUGCCUGUAAGACUGGGAUAACACCGGGAAACCGGUGCUAAUACUGGAUAAUCCUUUUCCUCUCAUGAGGAAAAGCUGAAAGUCGGUUUCGGCUGACACUUACAGAUGGGCCCGCGGCCCAUUAGCUAGUUGGUGAGGUAACGGCUCACCCAGGCUACGAAGCGUAGCCGACCUGAGAGGGGGAUCGGCCACACUGGGACUGAGACACGGCCCAGGCUCCUACGGGAGGCAGCAGUAGGGAAUCUUCCACAAUGGACGAAAGUCUGAUGGAGCAACGCCGCGUGAGCGAUGAAGGCCUUCGGGUCGUAAAGCUCUGUUGUUAGGGAAGAACAAGUACCGGAGUAACUGCCGGUACCUUGACGGUACCUAACCAGAAAGCCACGGCUAACUACGUGCCAGCAGCCGCCGUAA
rnacentral:rRNA from 1 species